AAGGGACCCUUUAUUCAAUUUACAAGCUGACACGCUGACAGAAGUAAUAUACUAAGAAAAAGAAAAAAAAAAAACUAAAAAAGGAUUGUGGUUUGUUAUCAAGAUGUUUGUCCCACAUCGGGUAUUUAGAACAUAUGACUUGUGUAUAUAAUUAGUCGAAAACUAAAACAUGGUACAACAGUCAUUGGACGAAGUGAAUGGGUUACAUGGACCUGUCUAGGUACCGACCCAGGAAAGUCCCCGGGCCACUAUCCGCAGAGAUGCGGCCUCGGUAUCGAGAGAAUCAUGCGGUGGAGAGAUUAUAGCUGAGACGCGUGUGUGGAGCUUUCUCUCCGCCGAUGAUAUCAUGGCCGUUCGUUUAACGACAGUUAUUCACUUGGUCCGCAUCGGAUUAACUGAACGGGGCUUAUGUUCCAAUGACAACAUCUUUUUUUUUUUUUUUAAGUAAUCCUGGUCACAUAGCAGUCUUAAGUUUGCUCAUGCUCUUCGCUUAUCAGAGUCUUCUUCUCCUGGGUUUUACUUAAAAUCGUAGAGAGUUUACUUUAGUGUUUUAAGUCAAAGCAAUGAAGUGAAAGAUAGCCAUUGGGUUCGAAGGAUCAGCUAACAAUAUUGGGGUUGACUCUAGACGGUACAAUCUUAGCUAAUCCUCGGCAUACAUACAUAACCCCGCCUGGUCAUGGAUUCCUUCCUAAAGAGACUGCUAUCAUCACCAUUGAGAUGAGCCAAUCGUUGGAGUGAAUCACUGCGUGGCUCACAUUGAGAUGGGGAGAGUAGUUACUGGAGCUGAUGAUACUGUUGUUCUGUAUGUGAGCGGUGGGAACACUCAGGUAGAUACCGGAUAUUUGGUGAGACCAUUGAUAUUGCUGGUGGUAAUUGCUUGGACCGGUUUGCUAGAGUCUUGAAGCUCUCCAAUGAUCCAAGUCCUGGCUAUAACGUACAUCGAGCAGAAGCGCGCUAAGAAAGGAGAAAAAUUCAUCGAUCUUCCGUAUGCUGUGAAAGGUAUGGAUGUAUCGUUCAGCGGAAUCUUGAGCUAUAUCGAAGCUCAAGAAUAACGAGUGGACACCAGCAGACUUGUGCUAUUCUCUUCAAGAGACGGUGUUUGCGAUGUUGGUUGAGAUAACGGAAAGAGCGAUGGCCCAUUGUGACAAUAAAGACGUUUUGAUAGUCGGUGGUGUCGGUUGCAAUGAGCGUUUGCAGGAGAUGAUGAGGACCAUGUGCUCUGAACGUGACGGGAAGCUGUUUGCAACGGAUGACCGAUACUGCAUAGAUAAUGGAGCGAUGAUCGCUUACGCGGGUCUGCUAGCAUUUGUUAACGGUGUUGAAACGCCGAUUCAAGAUUCCACCUUUACGCAGCGCGCUUUCGUACAGAUGAGGUUCACGCGGUUUGGCGGGAGAAUGAAGAGUUGGUCCUUGGGGGAUAAGAACAUUGGUUACUGUUAAAUUAAUUUUGUUAAUUUUUUUUUAAUCCGUUAUGAGAUUGUAUCUCUCUCUACUCGAUCAAAUAAGUUUUUUGAUAA